GGUCUGAGGCAAAGCUGAGGAUGUCCCAGCUUGAGAGCUCCUAGGGUGCAGGCACUCCCUGCCAUGUGAGCCUCGGUCACUCAAGAUGAGCCUGUCGCCCCUGCCAGGUCCGGGCUGGGCAGCCGGUGGCCGCACACAUCCCAGAGAAGGACAAUGCUUCCCAGGCGGUCGCGGUGAGGCGGGCUGGGUCCCAGCACAGCGAGUCCCAGUCCUCUUCCCGAGGCAGCCACGCACGCUACAACCCCAGGAGGGGCUCUGGGGACCCUGAGGGUCCCCACCCGCCCACACGGGGCAGAGCGGGGCUCAGGCAGGCCGCUGAGGCUCCGCCCCAGACCCCUGGGCAGCGGGUCACUGCUCCUCCCAGGGGCUCCCCGGUGUCCCCAGCGAGGGGACUCUGCUGAGGAGCAUCUUCACAGCCCUGCCUCUCCCUGCGGGGCUCGCUGCCCACCCUUUCAUCCCCCCUCGUCCACCAAGUGUGGGACUGGAGGGAGGCCGGGCUGAGCUGCCGCAGGCGGAGGUCCACACAAGUCCUGCCUCUCCGGCCGGGCCGGGAGCGUGAGGUGGAGGGGCGGGAAGCCGGGGGCCCUCCGCACCCGGACCUCGAUGGCGAGGGCUCCGCCCUGUGGUCCUCGGUUCCCCCGCAGCGGCUGAAGAAGCCAGGCUCCCCCGGCUCAGAGGUGCUCUGGCCACAAGGGCCCCUUGCUGGACUCUCCGAUCCGCCCGUCUGGCUUCGGGAGCGCAGGGCCGGCCGGCUGGCGGCAGGCUUCCCAGGGCAGGGCCAGAGCCACGCCCCCGGCCCCGGCAGGAGCCCCCCGAGGUCGGGCUGGGACGCGGCGCCUUGUCGUGCACACGGGGGCGUCCUGGUCACCGGGGAGGCGCGCGCUCCUCCAGUCCGCGGGCGGGGCGCACGCCUGCCGUCCCCGGCGGCCUCCCAGGCCGAGAGCCCUGCCUAGGCUCCGUGCCCCUAGGUGCCCGGGAGGCGUCUGGAGCGUCCGCAGUGGCGCCGCCGGGCCGGCAACGGCCCUCAGACGCCACGGCCGGGCGGGACCCGUGGGGAGGGACCCCUCCUCACACACCCCGCUUCUCCUCUCCUCGCACACCUGGCCUCUGUUCCCCUCCCCGCCGCCUCCUGCCGGGUCUCCCGCCUCUGCCUCCUCCCCAGCCUCCCGCCUCCGUCUUCACCCGGAGUAGUUGCCCCUUUGAAGCCCCCGCCGGCUUCGGGGCGUCCUCAGCGCUCCUACCGCGCGCGGAGCUGCCCUCAGGCCCCUUGGUUUCAGCUCCUCUUCAUCCUUUCCUUUUCAGCUUGAUUAAGACCAGCGCAGAAACCGAUAGCAGGGGGCGGGGUCAUGGCCGAGGGGGCGGAGCCUACGCGCUGGUGAAGCCCCGCCCUGCCCCGCCCUUUCCUGUCCCGGUCCCCUUUGUGCCGGAGGGCGGGGGCGAGGUCACGGCCGAGGGGGCGGAGCCUACGCUCAGCGCAGAGGGCAAGCCCGGCCCGCCCCGCCCGGUCCCGGGCCCCUUGGACCGGCCCGCGGAGACACCGCCCCGGCUGUUUCAGCGAGGCCGUGCGUGGCCAGCUGUCCUGAGCCCACAAAACGACCAGGUGUGUCUCCCAGGUACUGUUUGGUUGUUUUUAGUGUUUGUAGAAAGAAUGAGACGGAGAAGGAGAGAAAAAUCGGACAGGUUUAGGGGACAGGCCACAAAAGCCCCACCCCAGUCGUCCUGGAUCAAGGGCCUCAGAGGCUGUGCUGGGCCCUCCUGGAGGGGCUGGUGUGAAGGACCCCAUAGGACUUGUCCCUGGGAGCUCGAGCUGAUGGUGGGGCGGGGGUGGUGGUGGAGUAGUGCCCUUGGGGGUCAGCUCCGGUUCCCUCAGCCCCCAGCUCUGCCCACAGCGGUGAGGGCCUGGCCAGCAGACGUAGGGAUGGUAGUCUGAGGAGGGCACCUUCCGUUUGCACGCGUCUUCCUGGGGAGCCUGUUCUCUAUCUGGAACAAUCAGCUCUUCAUGCAAGGGCGCAGAGCUCCAGUGUAAACUGGCUUCAUUUGCUCAUUCACUCAUUCAUUACAGAAAUAGAUGUGGCCAUUUUUCCAGCUGUACCCGGGCCCUGGAAUGUAGCCCUAGGGAGCCAGGGAAGAACUUUGGAGAACAACUCCUUGGGCCCUGUCCCAGCUCAGGCCUAAGCCUGGCUCC
rnacentral:lncRNA from 1 species